CGUCCUCGUUCGUCGCCAUCAUGGUGAGUAGUCUCUCCCUCCCGACGGGCUUUUCUUUCCUUCUGUGCUAAUUAAGGAGCGCGACUUCAACACUCGUCGUCAUCAAUCCAGGUUCCAAAACCCUAAUCCCAUCUUUUUACUUAUCGAGAAACGAUCGGCCCUGAGGUGCGUAUGCCAUUUUGUCGGUAGGGAUUGUUGUAAGCUUUGAUUCGGUGGACUCAUGAUUGAAGCGUUGCAAACCGAAGGGAACCGUGUAGGAUUCGAUGCCCUACACAUUCGUCACAAGGAACAGAGUUGUUUGCCACCUCUAGCCCUAACAGAGUUAGGGUACCACUUACACGAACCACAUGAUCAACCCACGCGUGUUUCUAAUUGAUCAUGUGGUUCAUGUGAGUAGUACCCUAACAUGGAAUUUUGGAAUUGGGAUGAUGAUGAAAAGAGGAUUUGAGUUCAUACAUAAAUGUGCUUAGAGCAUUAAACGAAGCUCGGUAAGUCCAUGCUACCUAAUUUAUGUUAUAAUACAGAAUGAACAUCAUUAAAUGCUGUUGAUGUUAGUAGUUGUGGAUGUAUUGUGAUUUUACAAUCACAUACUAUGUGUCAAAUUAAUAUAGAAUAUUAACGUUUGUUGCACUCUGCUACCGCUUCCUUGGACACAAGAUAUAUUGGUAUCUUCAUUUGCUGCCCUUUUCAUGAAACUAAGAUGAUAAAAUGGAGAAUUGGCACUUUGAUUAUCCCAAAUUGGUUGGAAGGUUGAAGCCUUAGUAAUAGGAAGAUAUAAUGGUUUUUGUUGGACCCUGAGCUUGUUCAUGUUUAGUGCAACUCUUUCGGUACUUGUUCUCUUUGCGACUGAACAGUAUGAUACCUCCUGAUUAAAAGAUUUCAAAUUUCCCCCCCUUCUUUUCUUGUUUGUUGCUGUUAAACUCAGAUUUUAAUAUCUCGUUCUGAAAACACUUUUUAAGGAAAAAAAUUGCUUUAAACUUAUGAGGAGAUCAAUGAAAUUGAAAUGGGGAUCUUCAUAUUUCUAUCUGUUCUGGUAUAUUAAAUCAUAACUGGAUGUUCUGCAGAAUUUUCAAUAUUUUUUAUUGUAAUUUUAUAGCACAAUAUCUUUGGAUACACGUGCAUGCCAUUAGCCUGAAAAAGAGAAAAAGAGAAGGAUUCUAAAGUCAUCAUUUGAGUACAUUGGAUAAAAUAUGCCGCCUUGCAUAUAGGGGACCAGUCGAUGGUUACACUUGACUUGAAAGCAGAAGUGAAACUUCUUUUAUUUGGACUAACAUGAUGGAGAACUCAUUUGUGCCAGUAGAUACUAAUCAAAUCACACCUUCUUGUCAUAUCUGUUUAAUUAUGUUCUAUCCAUUCAGUUCAUCUUAAUACGAGUUUUCACAGCAUGACAUACAUUCAGUGCUUUUAUAGACAUAACUAAUCGUACUGGGUAGAUUUUUUCCUUUUCAAGUUGCCUCACAUUUGCUGCUCCUCAGCUUCCUUGAGGCCUGUCAAAUUAUUUGUAAGUUGUUCUUAGAAUAUUAGGUUUUUGUUUCUUCCAUUUUUUUGAUUUACUUUGAUUGAAUACGAUGCAAGUCUUAUACUGCCAUGGAUUGCACCUUGAGGAUAUUUCUUCAUUCAACAGUGCAUCAAAUGUCAGAAGAGUUACGAGAUUUCUUUUACCAAUGUCUCUAUCAGCUGAUAAAGUUCAACAACUCAUAUGUUUGGAAAGGUUAUUGUCUUAUGUAGAGGCAAACCCACUUCUUUGUGCCGAUGGGAUGAACAUCUGUGCCAAGGGGGUGGCGUGGCAUUUGGUCUUGGCUUCAUCUCGGUCUAAGCUUUGGAAGGUUGCUUAGCGGUUGUUCGAGUUACUUCAUUGGUCAGCCAGUUUCUUAUGAUUUACAUCCAAAUCACUUUCUUGCCCAAAUUUUCUCCAGUGAGGAAUUAUGCAUCAGAUUUUGAAAGGCUGGCAUCAAAUCAAAUUUGAGGAAACAGUAUUCCUUCCAGCAGUUGCAUGUGAGAGCCAUUACAAAAUAGUGAGGACUGUCAUAACCCAUGUCGGAGAAGAUAGUGAUGCCAAUGGAUUCUGCCAGACUUGUGUGACAACUGGUCUUAUCAUUCAACUCUUUAGAACCAAGUGUUGCUUUUUGGUUCAUUUGAACCUUCCUCACUUAGGAGGAUAUCUGAUGCAAAAUUUCUAAUACCAAACAUACAGUAGUCUAACUUUGUGUGGAACGCUAAUCAAAUCAUUAUUAUUCGUUGGUUUGUA